ACAAUUUCGUUCCUGAUCUGCUGGCUGCCAUUCUUUUGCAACCGUUUGCUCUUUUUCUUCUGUGACAUGCAACAACUUAUGCAAUUAGAUCGAAUUUGGGAUAUCAAUUACAGGACUUUACUGAUAAACAGUUGGUUCAGUAUCAUCUUGAAUCCAAUUAUAUUCAGUCUAAUGUCAUCUAAAUUCAGGAAAGCUUUAUUGAAGUUAUGGAGAACGAAAUUUAAAAGGCAAUCGGACAUAAUUAACGUCUGAAGAUUUAAUUAACUUCUAUUACAAUUUAUCUAAUGAGAAAAUAAGUGUAGGUUUUUAUCAAAAUGACGGUACCUAAUACAACGAUAUUGUCAAGAAAAGUAGACGAAUUAAUAAUAUAAGAUAACAAACCGUCCGGUCGCUGGGAGGAUGCAACAAUGCGAGCCGGUUGGCGUGGUUGGUAGAACACUUGCCUUUCACGCCGAAGGUUGUGGGUUCGAUUCCCACUCAGGACAGACAUUUGUGUGCAUGAACAUGUCUGUUUGUCCUAAGUCUGGGUGUAAUUAUCUAUAUAAGUAUGUAUUUACAAAAGAAAAGUAGUAUAUGUAGUAUAUCAGUUGUCUGGUUGCCAUAGCACAAGCUUUGUACAAGCUUAAUUUCGGAUCAGAUGGCCGUGUGUGAUAAAUGUCCUAGGAUAUUAUUAUUAUAAUGCAGUAUGCUGGAGGUUUGAAGGCUUGUUAGGCUAUUCUAUAAGAAUAAAAAUUCGAAAGUAAGACUGCAGAAAAUGCCACGAAAUAUCAGAAAGUGAUAUGCACCAUAUGAUUGUGACAGUGCAUAAAUAUUAUUUUUAGUAUAAUUAAAAGGUUUUUUUCUUUUUUUAUUGAAAAUUAAAUUAAGCGCAAAAUUAUAAUGUUUAAUGUAAGUAGUCACAUUGAUGUAGAUUUUAAUGAUAUUAUUCGUUAGCAGGACAAAUAAACGAUACUAAUAUUUAUCGUAAAUUCUUGUCCACUUAGUUAAAUCAAUAUGUAUGUAAUACGUUAUGUAUGUAUGAUCGAAUGAACGUUUCCUUGUUGUGUUAGUUUUAUUUUAUAAACUUAAAGCUUAGUAUACUUAUAUGUAUUAGCAAAAAUAUUGUUUUAAAAGAGUACAGAAAUUUGAACAAGAACUGGCCAAAAUUUAAUGGUGGUAAAAUAAUUUUAUGGCUUUAUGCAAGCUCAUCUGGGUAGGUACCACCCACUCAUCAGAUAUUCUACCGCAAGCAGUACAGCAGUAUUUGGUAUUAUAGUAUUUCGGUUUGAAGGGUGAGUGAGCUAGUGCAAUAAAAGGAUAAUAAGGAAGAUAAAGAAGGAUAAUAAAGAAAAAGGACAUAACAUCUUAGUUCCCAAGGUUGGUGGCGCAUUGGCGAUGUAAGCGAUGGUUAACAUUUCUUACAACGCCAAUGUCUAUGGGCGUUGGUGACCACUUACCAUCAGGUGGCCCAUAAGCUCGUUCACCUAUCUAUUCUAUAAAAAAUAAAUGGCGGUUGUUCGGUAAGGGAUAACUAAGUAUUUCAAAAAAGGCUUAAGUUCAAUCUAAUCCAGCUGUAUAGGUGGAAGGUAAUCCAGCUGUAUAGGUGGAAAGUCUUCCAGCUAUAAAGAUAGAAAGUCUUUUAGAAUUGAUCGGAUUUGGUCUUUUAAUUUCUACCACUUGUGGAUUUAACAAGUGACUUGAUGUUACGCUGAUUACGUUGAGCGUUAUAUAUAGAUGUGAUAAGAUCAUAAUGAAAGUUCACAAAAUGAAUUCGCCAAUUCCCGUCGACCGUUGCUAUCCAUUUUCAUUUUCGCUUACAAAUUGAUUUUAUCAUAUAUAAUACAUCUAAAGCUAUCUAAUUGCUAUAGUAAAUAAUGUUUUUAAUCGGAAUUAAGCUUAAUCAAUUAGAUGCCACUCGACAAACACGUCCCCGUUUCAUUUAAUUUAAUUAUACUUUAGAUCAUUAUACAGAUACAUUGAUUGUUUAGAUAAAACGGAAAAUUGCCCCAUUUUAUAAAAACUUUUAGUUAAAUUGAUAUUGACAUAAGAUCGAUUUGACAGAUUUUUCAAAUUCGAAAUGGAAGUAAUUGCCUCUUUCGUAUAAAGCUUUUAAUUACUGGUGGUCACUAUUUUUACUUAAAGUAGAAAGAAACAAUUCUUUUUGAUUGUCCAUGUGAUUGGUUUCCAUAUGUAAGGCUGAUUUUCGGUGUCCUACUUAUUUGCUCAGUUUAAUACGAUGAGUAUACUACAAAUAAUUAAAAUCACUUCAACAAGGCUAUCAAUGCAUUACUGUCUUUCAACUUUGUAAGCAUUGCUUUCAAAGUCCAGAUUGUUUAUUUAUUCGAUGGAAUUCCAUUUUUAUAAUAGUGACUAUACAGCAUUAGAAAUUUUUGUAUUUAUAUGUCAAUGCGUUGUUAUUGAAGUCUAUUUAUUAGAGAAAGUGUGCAGACGGUUAAAAGAUAUUAGUUUCUGAAAAUAGUCAUUUAUGAAAACAACGAGUACAAACUUUUGUAUUGUAUAACCCAAUAACAAACAGAGAUUGUCGAGUGGUACGAACAUGUGAAUUUUUACCGAAGAAGUGGUGCGGUUAAAUCAGGGGUGCGGUGGGGGCUUUGGGAGCACCACUUAAUUUUGCUGCAUGUUCUUAAUUUGUGUUUAUAAUUCAUCUCGUGUUCGGUGGCUUAACAACAUAUUUAAUUGUAACAAAUUAGUCUAUUUAUAUUAAAGAUAUUACAGCUUUUACACUGAAUUAUAACUUUAUAAUGAGAAUUAUAAAGUUUUCCUAUUUUUAAGGGUCGAAACUUUUUUAGUCUUUAUAAAACGAUUUAUUCAUUUUUUUAUGAGACCUAACAUACAGACAUUUUUAUAAAAUACAAAAUUAAAAUAAAAAGAAAUACACAAAAAAUACACAUUACAAAUUUAAAGCAGAAACACGCCGUCUAAAAGAUUGUCCUGUGGCAUUGUACCCAAGACGCUGGCACUGUUGCCUCUCUGCACCGCUAGACUCAGCCUUUGAUCCUAUUUUUAAUUUAUGUUAAAGGUUAGUUAAUAUUUAUGUUAAAGGUUACUCAGGCAUUUCUCCUUUCAAAAAAAAACAAAG